rnacentral:rRNA from 1 species
UACGUAGGGUGCGAGCGUUAAUCGGAUUUACUGGGCGUAAAGCGAGCGCAGGUGGUUUAAUAAGUCUGAUGUAAAAGGCAGUGGCUCAACCAUUGUGUGCAUUGGAAACUGUUAGACUUGAGUGCAGUAGAGGAGAGUGGAAUUCCAUGUGUAGCGGUGAAAUGCGUAGAUAUAUGGAGGAACACCGGUGGCGAAAGCGGCUCUCUGGACUGUCACUGACACUGAGGCUCGAAAGCGUGGGUAGCAAACAGG